AUCAGCUGGGUUGGAAGAAUGGAGAUGUAGGUCCCUGGGCUACAGACCAGAAAUUGCCUGGCUGAUUAUGAAAGUGUUUGGCAAUGAACAAGAUGGAACUUGAGGACAGAUCUGGGAUGGAAAAUUCUCACAGUAGGGCCUGCUGACUUGAUUGCAUUAUCACCAUGGCAACACUCAUCGGUCAGUGCAGCCAGGCAUUCUAGGAUUAAGAACAGAAUCAUUCAGUAAAAGG